rnacentral:rRNA from 1 species
GCCUACGGGGGGCAGCAGUAGGGAAUAUUGGUCAAUGGGCGAGAGCCUGAACCAGCCAAGUCGCGUGAGGGAAGAAGGUUCUAUGGAUUGUAAACUUCUUUUGCAGGGGAAUAAAGGACGGUACGUGUACUGUUUUGUAUGUACCUUGCGAAUAAGGAUCGGCUAACUCCGUGCCAGCAGCCGCGGUAAUACGGAGGAUCCGAGCGUUAUCCGGAUUUAUUGGGUUUAAAGGGUGCGUAGGUGGAUUGUUAAGUCAGUGGUGAAAGUUUUCAGCUCAACUGAAAAAUUGCCGUUGAAACUGUCGAUCUUGAGUGCAAAUGAGGUAGGCGGAAUGUGUUGUGUAGCGGUGAAAUGCUUAGAUAUAACACAGAACUCCGAUUGCGAAGGCAGCUUACUGGGAUGCGACUGACACUGAUGCACGAAAGCGUGGGUAUCAAACAGGAUUAGAAACCCUAGUAGUCCC